ACUUGAAGAAGAGAUUUAUAUGCUCCAACUAGAAGGUUUUAAAGAAAUAGGAAAAGAGAACUUGGUUUGCAGGUUGAACAAAUCUCUAUACGGUCUCAAACAGGCGCCGAGAUGCUGGUAUAAGAGAUUUGAUUCCUUCAUCAUGAGCCUUGGAUAUAACAGACUCUGUUCAGAUCCAUGUGCAUACUACAUGAGAUUUGGUGAUAAUGAUUUAAUUAUCUUGCUGAUGUACGUUGACGACAUGUUGGUAGCAGGCCCCAACAAAGAUCGUAUUGAAAACUUGAAUGCACAGUUGGCUAGGGAAUUUGAAAUGAAGGACUUGGGACAGGCAAACAAAAUUCUAGGAAUACAAAUUUACCGAGACAGAAAUAAUAGGAAGAUUUGGCUUAAUCAGAAGAACUACUUGAAGAAAAUCUUGCGUCGCUUCAAUAUGCAAGAUUGUAAGCCAAUUUCUAUCCCACUUUCUAUUAAUUUCAAGUUAUCCUCAAGUAUGAGUCCUAGUAAUGAAGCAGAGAGGAUGGAGAUGUCUCGAGUACCGUAUGCAUCAGCAGUGGGUAGUUUGAUGUUUGCUAUGAUUUGUACAAGACCAGACAUUGCACAAGCAGUGGGAGCGGUUAGUUGAUACAUGGCAAAUCCUGGUAAAGAGCAUUGGAGUACUGUGAAGAGGAUCCUGA
rnacentral:lncRNA from 1 species